UUUCCGUAGGUGAACCUGCGGAAGGAUCAUUAUCGAAUUUCGAGGGGAAGGAAGCUGAGGAGUGGAGACUGUCGCUGGCUUUCCCGCCUGGGAAGCAUGUGCACGCCUUGCUUUUCGUUGACCUUUCUCUUACUCUCACACCUGUGCACCCAUUGUAGGUCCUCGAAAGAGGAUCUAUGUUUUUAUCAUCACACGCAUCGUAUGUCCAUAGAAUGUAACAUGAUCGUCGAUCGACCUCGCGGUCGGGUGGCGGUCUAAAGAAAUAAAUACAACUUUCAGCAACGGAUCUCUUGGCUCUC
rnacentral:misc_RNA from 1 species